GACGAACGCUGGCGGCGUGGAUUAGGCAUGCAAGUCGAACGGUAGGAUACCUUCGGGUAUCUGAGAGUGGCGAACGGGUGAGUAACACGUAGGUGAUCUACCCUCAAGAUUGGGACAACCCAGGGAAACUUGGGCUAAUACCGGAUGAAAGCAGCAGUGAUGUUGUUUGAAAGGUGGCGUAAGCUGCCGUUUGGGGAUGAGCCUGCGCUCUAUUAGUUAGUUGGCGGGGUAAAGGCCCACCAAGGCGAUGAUAGAUAGGCGGCCUUAACGGGUGGUCGCCCACACUGGGAUUGAGAUACGGCCCAGACUCCUACGGGAGGCAGCAGUCGAGAAUAGUCUACAAUGGCCGAAAAGGCUGAUAGUGCGACGCCGCGUGAACGAAGAAGCCCUUCGGGUGUAAAGUUCUUUUAUAUGUGAGCAGUGCUUUCUAUGUGAACAGCAUGGGGAGAGAGAUAUUAAGCAUAUGAAUAAGCAACGGCUAACUCCGUGCCAGCA
rnacentral:rRNA from 1 species